UUACGGCCACAUCACAUUGAACUACCGGUUCCCGUACGAUCACAGAAGUUAAGCAACGUCUAGCUUGAUCAGUACCUAGACGGGUGACCGCUUUGGAAUACCAAGUGCUAU